GGGUUGUGAGGUUAAGCGACUAAGCGUACACGGUGGAUGCCCUGGCAGUCAGAGGCGAUGAAGGACGUGCUAAUCUGCGAUAAGCGUCGGUAAGGUGAUAUGAACCGUUAUAACCGGCGAUUUCCGAAUGGGGAAACCCAGUGUGAUUCGUCACACUAUCAUUAACUGAAUCCAUAGGUUAAUGAGGCGAACCGGGGGAACUGAAACAUCUAAGUACCCCGAGGAAAAGAAAUCAACCGAGAUUCCCCCAGUAGCGGCGAGCGAACGGGGAGCAGCCCAGAGCCUGAAUCAGUGUGUGUGUUAGUGGAAGCGUCUGGAAAGGCGCGCGAUACAGGGUGACAGCCCCGUACACAAAAAUGCACAUGCUGUGAGCUCGAUGAGUAGGGCGGGACACGUGGUAUCCUGUCUGAAUAUGGGGGGACCAUCCUCCAAGGCUAAAUACUCCUGACUGACCGAUAGUGAACCAGUACCGUGAGGGAAAGGCGAAAAGAACCCCGGCGAGGGGAGUGAAAAAGAACCUGAAACCGUGUACGUACAAGCAGUGGGAGCAUGCUUAGGCGUGUGACUGCGUACCUUUUGUAUAAUGGGUCAGCGACUUAUAUUCUGUAGCAAGGUUAACCGAAUAGGGGAGCCGAAGGGAAACCGAGUCUUAACUGGGCGUUAAGUUGCAGGGUAUAGACCCGAAACCCGGUGAUCUAGCCAUGGGCAGGUUGAAGGUUGGGUAACACUAACUGGAGGACCGAACCGACUAAUGUUGAAAAAUUAGCGGAUGACUUGUGGCUGGGGGUGAAAGGCCAAUCAAACCGGGAGAUAGCUGGUUCUCCCCGAAAGCUAUUUAGGUAGCGCCUCGUGAAUUCAUCUCCGGGGGUAGAGCACUGUUUCGGCAAGGGGGUCAUCCCGACUUACCAACCCGAUGCAAACUGCGAAUACCGGAGAAUGUUAUCACGGGAGACACACGGCGGGUGCUAACGUCCGUCGUGAAGAGGGAAACAACCCAGACCGCCAGCUAAGGUCCCAAAGUCAUGGUUAAGUGGGAAACGAUGUGGGAAGGCCCAGACAGCCAGGAUGUUGGCUUAGAAGCAGCCAUCAUUUAAAGAAAGCGUAAUAGCUCACUGGUCGAGUCGGCCUGCGCGGAAGAUGUAACGGGGCUAAACCAUGCACCGAAGCUGCGGCAGCGACGCUGAUGCGUUGUUGGGUAGGGGAGCGUUCUGUAAGCCUGUGAAGGUGUGCUGUGAGGCAUGCUGGAGGUAUCAGAAGUGCGAAUGCUGACAUAAGUAACGAUAAAGCGGGUGAAAAGCCCGCUCGCCGGAAGACCAAGGGUUCCUGUCCAACGUUAAUCGGGGCAGGGUGAGUCGACCCCUAAGGCGAGGCCGAAAGGCGUAGUCGAUGGGAAACAGGUUAAUAUUCCUGUACUUGGUGUUACUGCGAAGGGGGGACGGAGAAGGCUAUGUUGGCCGGGCGACGGUUGUCCCGGUUUAAGCGUGUAGGCUGGUUUUCCAGGCAAAUCCGGAAAAUCAAGGCUGAGGCGUGAUGACGAAGCACUACGGUGCUGAAGCAACAAAUGCCCUGCUUCCAGGAAAAGCCUCUAAGCAUCAGGUAACAUCAAAUCGUACCCCAAACCGACACAGGUGGUCAGGUAGAGAAUACCAAGGCGCUUGAGAGAACUCGGGUGAAGGAACUAGGCAAAAUGGUGCCGUAACUUCGGGAGAAGGCACGCUGAUAUGUAGGUGAAGUCCCUUGCGGAUGGAGCUGAAAUCAGUCGAAGAUACCAGCUGGCUGCAACUGUUUAUUAAAAACACAGCACUGUGCAAACACGAAAGUGGACGUAUACGGUGUGACGCCUGCCCGGUGCCGGAAGGUUAAUUGAUGGGGUCAGCGCAAGCGAAGCUCUUGAUCGAAGCCCCGGUAAACGGCGGCCGUAACUAUAACGGUCCUAAGGUAGCGAAAUUCCUUGUCGGGUAAGUUCCGACCUGCACGAAUGGCGUAAUGAUGGCCAGGCUGUCUCCACCCGAGACUCAGUGAAAUUGAACUCGCUGUGAAGAUGCAGUGUACCCGCGGCAAGACGGAAAGACCCCGUGAACCUUUACUAUAGCUUGACACUGAACAUUGAGCCUUGAUGUGUAGGAUAGGUGGGAGGCUUUGAAGUGUGGACGCCAGUCUGCAUGGAGCCG
rnacentral:rRNA from 1 species